UACGUAGGGCGCAGGCGUUAUCCGGAAUUAUUGGGCGUAAAGAGCUCGUAGGCGGUUUGUCGCGUCUGCCGUGAAAGUCCGGGGCUCAACUCCGGAUCUGCGGUGGGUACGGGCAGACUAGAGUGAUGUAGGGGAGACUGGAAUUCCUGGUGUAGCGGUGAAAUGCGCAGAUAUCAGGAGGAACACCGGUGGCGAAGGCGGGUCUCUGGGCAACAACUGACGCUGAGGAGCGAAAGCGUGGGGAGCGAACAGG
rnacentral:rRNA from 1 species